rnacentral:rRNA from 1 species
GAUGAACGCUGACAGAAUGCUUAACACAUGCAAGUCAACUUGAACUUCGGUUUGGGUGGCGGACGGGUGAGUAACGCGUAAAGAACUUGCCUCACAGAUAGGGACAACAUUUGGAAACGAAUGCUAAUACCUGAUAUUAUGAUUAUAUGGCAUCGUAUAAUUAUGAAAGCUAUAUGCGCUGUGAGAGAGCUUUGCGUCCCAUUAGCUAGUUGGAGAGGUAACGGCUCACCAAGGCGAUGAUGGGUAGCCGGCCUGAGAGGGUGAUCGGCCACAAGGGGACUGAGACACGGCCCUUACUCCUACGGGAGGCAGCAGUGGGGAAUAUGGGACAAUGGACCAAGAGUCUGAUCAAGCAAUUCUGUGUGCACGAUGAAGUUUUUCGGAAUGUAAAGUGCUUUCAGUUGGGAAGAAAAAAAUGACGGUACCAACAGAAGAAGUGACGGCUAAAUACGUG